UGGCAACUAAUGAGGUUAACAAUAAAGACAAACAAGGCACACAACAGACAAGGACAGAAAACACACAGGAAACAUGUAACAAGUAUCAGGCCCUGUCCACAGGAACAUGGAGAGAGUUCAGGAGGAGUAUGAUGAUGUGAUGAGUGUCAGUGAAGAUGUGAGAAACCUGAUGGAUUAUGAUGAUGUGGAGGAGGAG